CAUGAGAACGUCCAGAGGAAGCAGGAGAGGAGCGAGACGAGGAGGAUGAAGAGCAGCCGAGCGAGAGCGAGAGUGAAGAUGAAGAUAAUGAGAUCAUAUACAACCCCAAAAACCUGCCGCUCGGCUGGGACGGAAAGCCGAUUCCAUACUGGCUGUACAAGAAGCACGGCCUGAACAUCAAUUAAAACUGUGAGAUCUGUGGGAAUUACACGUACAGAGGACCCAAAGCCUUCCAGAGACACUUUGCAGAGUGGCGUCACGCUCAUGGCAUGCGCUGUUUGGGCAUUCCUAACACAGCCCACUUCGCCAACAUCACCCAGAUUGAGGACGCAGUGUCCCUCUGGUCAAAGCUGAAGUCACAGAAAGCAUUAGAGCGCUGGCAGCCGGACACAGAGGAGGAAUAUGAAGACUCCAGCGGAAACGUGGUCAACAAGAAGACUUUUGAGGAUCUGAAUCGACAGGGGCUUCUGUAGCUCAACAAACAAGAGUCUGAACACACAAAACACUCACAGCGUGAAUACUGAAGCAGAAAUGAGAAAGAGUUUAGUCCUCUUGUGUUUCCCACAGUUUGGGAGGAAUUUGAUUUGUCUUUUUGAGAAUGAGCCGUUUGUACAUUUGUAUUACUCUUUCAUUAUUCCUUAUUUUUGUAUUUACUGUCUUAAAUGUGAAACAGAGACUUUCAUUAAUCAAUCAAGUUUAGUACGAUGUGUGAACAAUGUUUUCUUGAGCAGCCUGCUGUUUGUAACCAGUCUGGAGACUUUAAACCUGCUGUAGAAUAAAAUCAAACCGUGAGAUGGUUUUACUUCAGCAGCAUCUGUCACUAAAAUAUAUUCAGACCCCUUCAUUUUAUGUUGCAGUCUAAUGCUAAAAUCCUUUAUUUUUCAUUCACAUCAAUCUACACUCCAUACAUCAUAAUGACAGAAAAUCAGAUGUGAUGACUGCAAAUGUGUUGAAAGAAAGAACAAACAGAAAAACAGUGUCACAUUGACUGAAUUUAGUUCAGAAGCACCUCAUUUCUCUGAAUCGUCGAGAUUAAAAAUACAAUUAUUAAAAUGCAGAUUUCUGUA